UAGCAUUUGACAUUUGAUUAUUCAACAAUUCCUUUCCCAUCUACUUUUGCGAGACCUUAAUGGUACCGUGUCCGACUUUUCUUUUCGUCUCCGCUUUUGUUGGCUAGAAUGAUAGUGUUCCAGUCCCAUCUUGUGGGCAUUGACCACUAGCUAGGCCUCGUUGCCACCUUCAUCUCUACGUUUCCCGUUUGGCUUAAUUUUUGUCUUGGUCCAGUUCUCCAGUGGUUACCAGCCUCAUCACCAGGAAGAAGGACAUUGUCAAUGCCACCGCUGCUUCCGUCAAGAAUUAGUUCUCCUAACUAAAUUUCCGAUGGAGUGAUCAAUUGGAAGAUCGCAAUCCAUGCCUUCACCAGAUGAGCCCCGCUCUUGGAUGUGCUGAUUUAAUCAUAGCUCACUGUGUUGUAGUUUGAACUCGAAGAAAAUAAACAAAUAUCAUUUUAUUA